rnacentral:tRNA from 1 species
GCCCGCGUGGAUAAGGGAAGCUGGUACAACCGGAACACUCAAAACGUUCUAUUCUGUGUGAGUUCGAAUCUCGCCGUGGGCACCA